rnacentral:rRNA from 1 species
UACGAAGGGGGCAAGCGUUGUUCGGAAUUACUGGGCGUAAAGCGCACGUAGGCGGCUUUCUAAGUCGGGGGUGAAAUCCUGGAGCUCAACUCCAGAACUGCCUUCGAUACUGGAAAGCUCGAGUCCGGGAGAGGUGAGUGGAACUGCGAGUGUAGAGGUGAAAUUCGUAGAUAUUCGCAAGAACACCAGUGGCGAAGGCGGCUCACUGGCCCGGUACUGACGCUGAGGUGCGAAAGCGUGGGGAGCAAACAGG